rnacentral:rRNA from 1 species
UGACGGAGCGACGCCGCGUGGAUGAAGAAGGCUGAAAAGUUGUAAAAUCCUUUUGUUGAUGAAGAAUAAGGGGAAGAGGGAAUGCUUCUCUGAUGACGGUAGUCGGUGAAUAAGCCCCGGCUAAUUACGUGCCAGCAGCCGCGGUAACACGUAAGGGGCGAGCGUUGUUCGGAAUUAUUGGGCGUAAAGGGCAUGUAGGCGGUUAUGUAAGCCUGAUGUGAAAUCCUGGGGCUUAACCCCAGAAUAGCAUUGGGUACUGUGUAACUCGAAUUACGGAAGGGAAACUGGAAUUCCAAGUGUAGGGGUGGAAUCUGUAGAUAUUUGGAAGAACACCGGUGGCGAAGGCGGGUAUCUGGCCGAUAAUUGACGCUGAGAUGCUAAAGUGUGGGGAUCGAACAGGAUUAAUACCCUGGUAGUCCACACCGUAAACGAUGUACACUAGGUGUGGGGGCAAAGCUUCAGUGCCAAGCAACACGAUAAGUGUACGCUGGGAUAUGCC